UGCAGGAAUGAAAAUUAUACGUGACGUUAAAGAGUUGUAACGUUAAAAAGAUGAUAUUGCUUAAAAUUGUUUAAUUAUUGGUACUUAAAAUUGUUUAAUUAUUGGUACUUGAAUCUGACUUUAAACCGGUUUAACACAAACAUACAAUUACAAUAAUCAAUACCAGGGUACAUGUAUCAUGCUGGAAAAUUACGAAUGUGUCAGACGAAUUAUUUUGUUUUUCAUAGAAGAUAAACAAAAUCAUCGAGCUUUGCAGAACGAUGAAUCAGAAUGACUGAAUGACACUAAGUUUUGCAAAAUGGAUAUAUCCCUAACUUCCAUGGCCUUCGACAUAUUUGAGUGGGAUCCUGAAACAACCCCUGACACAACAACUUAAUUUACAAGAACAACCCUGCGUAUAAGAACUACAAUACUUCUGACAAAAACAAACAAAAGCAACUCCAGAUUUAUGAACAACUCUGAUUACUAGAACAUGAACACCAACCCCAUCUUCAAGAACAACAACUUUAACCCCAGAACAUCAACACUUCCUGCAGGGACAACUACAAAAACAUCGGCUUCAAGAACAAAUUCAUCCUAAACACAAACAUCAGCAACAACAGCUACCCGAAUAAAACUACUCGAACCACAAGAACACCAGCAACACACUCUUUAAGAACACCAGCAUCAUCAUCUUCUUCUAGACUUGCAAAUGCAACAAACACCAAAGACAAAGUUGAAUGGCAAACUUCAAUGGAGAGGACAGAGUAAUGGCAAAAAGACGAUCAUUUUAAAGAGAGGAGGAAGAGGGAUAUGUAAAGAGUGUUCUGAGGCCAGGAUAUCAGCAGUGUGUUCAGUCAGGCGAGCGUUUACAAAACGCUCGCAAACGUUUUGUUUUGUAUCUCUGUUGCAACGCAGCGCAUAUACGUUAAGCGGGAAACCAAACAGCAAACGUUCGCCGCAAACAUCUUUA